AGCCCGUCACACCGCACACGGUGAAGCUAUUUUCAUAUAUUGCCUAAUGCAUAAUGGGCUCAACUACAGCUAACAGCUGUGAGCUGGAACCAAUAUUGUUACUGCGUGCUGAACAUGAGUUUGAGUGUCUUUUUAAAGAGGAUACGUUCAUGAAGUGGGUAUAUUACAGUAGAUAAAAUAAACAGAUGUGCUUUACAUAAAUUGGUGAAAUAACAUUUCGGCACACAAACUGUUUGUAUACAUCUAAUAAACUAUUUUAAAAUUACACACAACCCUUUAAUUUGCACACCUUUUACAUUUUAAAAGGAAUGAUCUGAAGUUCAAUCGAAACCAGGAAACUGGGCAGAUAGUCGAGGAGUUCUCGAGUGUGAGAGAGGCCGGCGCGACGACACGACGACACGACGACGCGACGACACGACGACG